UACGAAGGGGGCUAGCGUUGCUCGGAAUCACUGGGCGUAAAGCGCACGUAGGCGGCUUUUUAAGUCAGGGGUGAAAUCCUGGAGCUCAACUCCAGAACUGCCUUUGAUACUGGGGAUAUCGAGUCCGGGAGAGGUGAGUGGAACUGCGAGUGUAGAGGUGAAAUUCGUAGAUAUUCGCAAGAACACCAGUGGCGAAGGCGGCUCACUGGCCCGGUACUGACGCUGAGGUGCGAAAGCGUGGGGAGCGAACAGG
rnacentral:rRNA from 1 species